CCUACGGGGGGCAGCAGUGGGGAAUAUUGCACAAUGGGCGCAAGCCUGAUGCAGCCAUGCCGCGUGUAUGAAGAAGGCCUUCGGGUUGUAAAGUACUUUCAGCGGGGAUGAAGGUGUUGAGGUUAAUAACCUCAGCAAUUGACGUUACCCGCAGAAGAAGCACCGGCUAACUCCGUGCCAGCAGCCGCGGUAAUACGGAGGGUGCAAGCGUUAAUCGGAAUUACUGGGCGUAAAGCGCACGCAGGCGGUCUGUCAAGUCGGACGUGAAAUCCCCGGGCUCAACCUGGGAACUGCAUUCGAAACUGGCAGGCUAGAGUCUUGUAGAGGGGGGUAGAAUUCCAGGUGUAGCGGUGAAAUGCGUAGAGAUCUGGAGGAAUACCGGUGGCGAAGGCGGCCCACUGGACAAAGACUGACGCUCAGGUGCGAAAGCAUGGGGAGCAAACAGGAUUAGAUACCCCAGUAGUC
rnacentral:rRNA from 1 species